rnacentral:rRNA from 1 species
UGUUCAGGGGUAAACCUGUGGUUCCCGAAAGUUCGAACGGGGAGAUUCAAUUGCCUCGCCGGUUAUGACCAUUUAGCAGUGUGUUUUAUAUAUUUUGAGACAUUACAUGGCGUUAUGGGCUUGUCCUGUAAUCUGUUAUGUGGUGCUCCGCUGCUUUAUGUAUAUAUAUUAGUUUAUAGCCGGAGGCGUGCACUUCUCCCCUUGUAGGGCGUCAUGACCCAUUGGGUAAUAUUAUAUUAAAAUGUUGUCUAAGGCCCACAAUGGAGCCCGUGGUGUCGUCAAGUUGGGUUUCACGACCUACCUUGUGCGCACCGGACUUGUGGUGUCCCGACAUCAACCCGAUGGUAUAUAGUGAGAUAAUGGGUCGCAACACCUUGUGUAGCGAGCGUUCAGACCUGUGACAAAUGUUCGUACGGUUCUGUGGAAAUUGGACUUUGCGCCGAUUCUACGCGUAUGGCAUUGUUAGUCAUGGUGUUCUCGAACCGGUCCUUAUUAUCCGUCAAUGGCGUUUAUGUUUUGGGUAAUUACAGGACCCGUCUUGAAACACGGACCAAGGAGUCUAGCAUGUGCGCGAGUCAUUGGGACUUAGUGAAACCUAAAGGCGUAAUGAAAGUGAAUAUUUGUUGAAUUUUCGUAAUUCACAAAUUAAGGGAAGAUGGCUGACGGAAUUUAUGUUGGCUCGCAUUCCCGGGGCGUCGCGUACUCAUUGCGAGUUGCGGCGCACCAAGAGCGUACACGCUGGGACCCGAAAGAUGGUGAACUAUGCCUGAUCAGGAUGAAGUCAGGGGAAACCCUGAUGGAGGUCCGUAGCGAUUCUGACGUGCAAAUCGAUCGUAUGAAUUGGGUAUAGGGGCGAAAGACUAAUCGAACCAUC